rnacentral:tRNA from 1 species
GGUGGCUCAGUAGUAGAGUGCUUGCCUUGCAUGCAUGAGGUACUGGGUUCGAUUCCUCAGCACCA